ACAUUUUUCUUUUUAUUUUUUUUCGUUUUUCAGUCUUUUCCUUCCAAAAUUUUAUCUUACUUUAUUUUUUCUCCAAAUUCCUAAACCUAAACUUAACUUCAUCAAACACUUCCUUUUUCUCAUGUUCAUCUACACUCUUUGAGCCGUCUUCCCGUCACAGCCAUUCUCGACCAGGAAAAGCGUAAUGACAACCCGCUGUAAACUGCUGAGAAGGUGAUCUUGUAGAGGAGCUUGAUGUCGCCUGUCAUGAAGGUGGUGAGGAGUUCGGGGUCGACGUUGGACUAGACGAGGGAGUCGCAGACUUGGGAGACGCAUAUACAGUCAAAGGGGUUUUCAGUUCUACGUUUUCCAUUUUUGAUUCAAAACUCAAAUCUUAAAACUCUUCCCCAAACCUCUCUUUUAGGUUUAGGUUUCAUGUUUCAGAGGCUUUACCUUUCACUAGUGUCCUUAAAUUCGUGAAAUCAUAAAACCCUAAUCGAAGAUGAGACAGUUCUCAAACGCCUCCGCACUUAUCGCGGCCACAACGGAUAUUCUGGUUAACUCAUAACAAGGAGUGGGGAUUAUUGCUGCCCUGUACGUGUUUGAUGAAAUUCCUAGGUUGAGUGCAAUACAUUUUUGUUGCCCACCAUCGUUCUUCUAAUAAGAAACGCAUUUUUAUAGUGUAAGUGCUUUGUAUGCAAAUUUUGAACAAUGUUACACCGUAUUUUGGAAGUAGUGGUUGAUGGGACAGUAAGGGAUGUAUGGAUCCCUCUUAAAAGAGUGCAUUCUGGAGAAUUAAGACUUCGAAUAUCAAUUAGAGUGGAUGACCAAGAAGGACCGAAGGGUUCGGGUUUUGGCUCAAGCAAUGGUUGGAUUGAACUUGUCCUGGGAAGGGAUUGUUAUUGUCUAUCUCAAAGGCAUAAGUGAUCCAUAUGUGAGGUUUCAGGUUAAGAAGAAGUUACCUUUUCUGAAUUGUGACUCUUUAUUAGCUCGUUCUCUCAUUUGGAAAGCAAGCUCGUGAUGCAUAUGAGCCAGAGUCUUCUUUGGGAACAAGACAAUCAUCUUAUGGAAGUAACUUUUAGGAAGUUUAUGAUAUUGUUUUAGGAUAAAACUAUACUUAGUUUAUUAUGAAUUGGGUAACAUUUCUUUCUUUGUAAUUAUUUCUGCAAUAGGAUUACAUUGACUUCUAGUCUAUCCUUCUGAAACAUACUAUUGUUUCUCAAUUUAUUUUUCUAAAUUCCUUC